AGCCUCUUGCUUCCUCUUUCCUUCUUCACGGCACGACGCGAUUCAUCGUCAAUCUCGCGAAGGAACUUCCGAUCGCCGCCGCGAGCACACGGCGAAGUUUCCGGUCGAAUCGCUAAUUUAUCUCGUCAAUCCGAAACCCCAGGCCGCCGGAGGUAGCCUCGCCGGUCGCGUUUUACGAACGUCGAUCGUCGCUACUCAUGGUAAUUGACCCGAUCGAGUAGGCUUUCUUUCCUUCUUCCUGUUUGUCGGAUUCGCCGGCCCCCUGGUCCUGCGAUGGCGAGCGCCGACGACGAGGACGCCGCCUCCGAUGCCGCCGUCCUCAGCGACGUGGAGGAGGACGAUCCGGUGUCGGUCGCCGCCGUCGAGGAGCCGUCGCCGGACGACGUGUCGGUGGAGCGGCUCCGCGGGGUGCUGGCCGAGCUUGAUCGCGAGAGGCACGCGCGGGGGGAGGCGGAGAAGUCGAAGUCCGAGCUGCAGGGCCAGUUCAAUCGGCUGAAGGCGCUCGCGCACGAGGCGAUUAAGAAGCGAGACGAGUGGGGGAGGCAGAGGGACGACGCCCUGCGCGAGAAGGAAGAGGUCUCGAGAUCCAAGGAGGCGGCCGAUGCGGAGCUGGCCGAGGCCAAUCGGGUGAAGGAUGAGGUUUUGAGUCAGAAGGACGACGUGACGAAGCAAUUGGAUGAAGCGCUCAAAGUGAAGGAUGGUCUGCGGUCGGAGAUCGAGAGUUCUGCGCAUAUGCUCGUGACGGGCAUCGAGAAGAUAUCGGGGAAAGUCAGCAACUUCAACAAUUUCGCCGCCGGAGGAUUGCCGAGGUCGCACAAGUACUCGGGAUUGCCUGCGGUGGCGUAUGGAGUGAUUAAGAGGACUAAUGAGAUAGUUGAAGAGCUCCUCAGACAGAUUGAUACCACUACGAAAUCCAGAAAUGAAGCGAGAGAACAGAUGGAGCAGAGGAACUAUGAGAUUGCCAUUGAGGUUUCGCAGCUUGAAGCGGCAAUUAGUAGCUUGAGGGAAGAGGUUGCCAAGAAAAGUAAUGCCGUGGAUAGUUUGCAGAGAGCAUUGAACGAGAAGGAUGAGAAGGUUGCGGGCUCCGAAAGGGAGAUGUCAGAGAAAGUAAGUUCGCUGGAAAAGGAGAAUUCAGAGUUAAGAGAUUUAGUAGUUGAAUUCGAUGAUAAGUUGAAGAGCUUGGAAUCGAGGAUUGAGGCGCAGAGGCCUUUGCUGAUCGAACAAUUGGAUCAGGUUUCGAAGAUUCAUCAGAGAACUUGUAAUGCGAUCAGGAUUGUAGAUGCCGGUAAUUCUGAACAAUCCGACUUGGCAGAGUCUUUAUUUUUACCACAAGAUACCGAUGUGGAAGAAAGCGUACAUGCCUCGCUGGCGGGAAUGAAAUCCGUUCAUGACUUAAUGGGGAUUGUUAUUUCGAAGACGAAGGAUUUGGUAGAGGAGAACAAUCGCAAAGUGAAGGGUCUGAAUGAAACGGUUGAUAGAUUGGUGAAGGAGAAAGAGCAGAUUGGGUCACUGCUCAGAAGCGCUUUGUCAAAGAGGAUGUCAUUAGACUCAUCUUCUAGAACCAGCGACUUGUUUCAGGCUGCAGAAAAUGGUUUGAGAAAGGCAGGGAUAGAUUUCAAAUUUAGCAAACACGCGGAGGAUAAAAAAGUUGUAGGCCUUGGUGGUCAUGAGGUGGAUGAGAUGGAGACAGAGGAGGAUGAAAUAUACAAUUUGGCUGGUGCUUUGGAAAAUAUUGUUAAGGAGUCCCAGCUAGAGAUAGUGGAACUUCGACAUUCUGUGGAGGAACUAAGGGCAGAGUCGAGUUUACUUAAAGAGCAUGUUGAGGCACAGGCAAAGGAGCUCAAUCUUAGAAAGCAUCAGAUUGAGGAACUUGAAGAGAAGGAGAGAUUGGCAAAUGAAAGUAUUGAAGGGCUUAUGAUGGAUAUUGCUACCGCUGAAGAAGAAAUUGCUAGAUGGAAAGUUGCAGCAGAGCAAGAAGCUGAUGCUGGAAAAUCUGUUGAGAAGGAGCUUACUGUAGAGUUGUUUGCUCUCAAGCAAGAACUUGAAGAGGCAAAGCAGGCCAUGUUGGAAUUGGAGAAAAAGCUAAAAUUCAAAGAAGAGACGGCGGCGGCGGCCAUGGCAGCGAGAGAUGCAGCUGAGAAAUCACUGAGGUUGGCGGAUCUGAGGGCGUCAAGACUAAGAGAUAGAGUAGAGGAAUUAACCCGUCAGCUUGAAGAGUCCGACCUGCAGGGAGAAGCAAGGAGGAACCGCAGGGGACCAAGAUAUGUAUGUUGGCCUUGGCAGUGGCUUGGGUUCGACUUAGUGGGUGUUCAAAGAUUUGAGACACUGGAGCAAAACUCUAAUGAGAUGGAGCUUUCGGAACCCUUUUUAUAGUACUCUGAAAACUACAGUUAUGGUGAUUUAAAGUAACGAAACGUUCACGAAGCAGUGGUUUCAAGUGACAAAUUUUUUAGCGACACUGACGCCAGCUCAGCGCUCCCCGUAAGGAUCAGUUCUUCCAAUCGAAAUCAGCUAAGACAGACGACGAAAUGAAACCCGUGGCCGCUGUGGUUUGCUGUCAAAUGCAACGGGACCGGAAGAUGCUUUUCAUUUCGACCGGAUGAGUUUACCUUUCCUUCGAAGCUUAAUUGCAUAAGACGCUACAGGGGAAGACCAGGGUAACCUCAGAACACUCAUUUACAUAAAGCUCUAGUUGGACCUUGACAACUCCUCGUAUGGUUCAAGUAGACAUUGGAACAUAAAUGUUGAUGAGCCAGCAAAAUUCAAAAGUGAAAGAUUGAAUGAAUACACAUAAGCCCUAUCUUCGGAUCA